rnacentral:miRNA from 1 species
UACCAUGCUCCCUCGUGGUUCCCACAAUUCCCAGCACAGCAUACUGUGCAUCCUGUGCUGGGAAUUGUGGGAACCGCGAGGGAGCAUGGA